CACAGAGAGGAGAUGAAUAUUUUCCUAGAGAAUGAAAUAAAGUAGUAAAGCAGAGAAAAUCCCAGGAGCACAGCGUCACUUGCCGCAUACAGAUGAUCCUGUUGUUCCAGGUGUAAAGACUCUGCAUGACGUUGUAGAAAAGAAAACUGAUUUUGGGUGCACCAAAAUGAGGAAAGUGAGAUGGAGUAAUGGAUUUCUUCUCGUUUUGUGAGCAAGUUCCCUAUCUGCCUUGCUGCUUUCAGGAUGAAGACAACAAUGAAGAAGAAGAAGAGCAGAACUUUCUGAAACUAGUGACUGGACAGUAGAAUGUUAGAUGAAACUCGAUGCAGGUAAAGCAGACUUUCUUACUGACAGACCAAACUGGCAUAGGCUCAUGCAGGAAGGGGACUGGGAACAUGUGGCUGGAGAUAAAGGGGGCACCCACAGCAGCUGACAUUCUCAGCAGUUCAUGCAGAAUUGUGUGACUAACAGUAUGGAGCAGA
rnacentral:lncRNA from 1 species